rnacentral:rRNA from 1 species
UACGGAGGGUGCGAGCGUUGUCCGGAAUCACUGGGCGUAAAGCGUGCGCAGGCGGUUUUGCAAGGCGGAUUGGAAAUCCCCGGGCUCAACCUAGGAAUGGCAUUCGGGACUGCAAGGCUGGAGUGCGGCAGAGGAGACUGGAAUUCCUGGUGUAGCAGUGAAAUGCGUAGAUAUCAGGAGGAAUACCGAUGGCGAAGGCAGGUCUCUGGGCUGACACUGACGCUCAUGCACGAAAGCGUGGGGAGCAAACAGG